GAGUUUGAUCAUGGCUCAGAUUGAACGCUGGCGGCAUGCUUAACACAUGCAAGUCGAACGGAAACGAUUGGUACUUGUACCAAGGCGUCGAGUGGCGGACGGGUGAGUAACGCGUAGGAACCUACCCAGUAGCGGGGGAUAGCCCAGAGAAAUUUGGAUUAAUACCGCAUAGGCUCUACGGAGCAAAGAUGGCCUCUAUUUAUAUGCUAUCGCUAUUGGAUGGGCCUGCGUUAGAUUAGUUAGUUGGUGGGGUAAUGGCCUACCAAGACGACGAUCGAUAGCUGGUCUGAGAGGACGAUCAGCCACACGGGGACUGAGACACGGCCCCGACUCCUACGGGGGGCAGCAGUGAGGAAUAUUGCACAAUGGGGGCAACCCUGAUGCAGCAACGCCGCGUGGAGGAUGAAGGCCCUUGGGUCGUAAACUCCUUUUUUGGGGGAAGAGCAAGGACGGUACCCCAAGAAUAAGUCACGGCUAACUACGUGCCAGCAGCCGCGGUAAUACGUAGGUGGCAAGCGUUAUCCGGAAUUACUGGGCGUAAAGCGCACGCAGGCGGCCAGUCAAGUCUGACGUGAAAGCUCCUGGCUUAACUGGGAGAGGUCGUUGGAAACUGGUUGGCUUGAGGCAAUGAGAGGGACACGGAAUUCCCGGUGUAGUGGUGGAAUGCGUAGAUAUCGGGAGGAACACCAGUGGCGAAAGCGGUGUCCUGGCAUUGACCUGACGCUCAUGUGCGAAAGCGUGGGGAGCGAACGGGAUUAGAUACCCCGGUAGUCCACGCCGUAAACGAUGAACACUAGGUGUGGGUGGUUUCAAACCCAUCUGUGCCAAAGCAAACGCGAUAAGUGUUCCGCCUGGGGAGUACGGCCGCAAGGCUAAAA
rnacentral:rRNA from 1 species